UACGGAGGGUGCGAGCGUUGUCCGGAAUCACUGGGCGUAAAGGGCGCGUAGGCGGCUCGGUAAGCGUGUGGUGAAAGCUCGGGGCUCAACCCCGAGUCGGCCGUGCGAACUGUCGAGCUGGAGCACUGUAGAGGCAGGUGGAAUUCCGGGUGUAGCGGUGGAAUGCGUAGAGAUCCGGAAGAACACCGGUGGCGAAGGCGGCCUGCUGGGCAGUUGCUGACGCUGAGGCGCGACAGCGUGGGGAGCAAAC
rnacentral:rRNA from 1 species